rnacentral:rRNA from 1 species
GACGAACGCUGGCGGCGUGCUUAACACAUGCAAGUCGAACGGAAAGGCCCUGCUUUUGUGGGGUGCUCGAGUGGCGAACGGGUGAGUAACACGUGAGUAACCUGCCCUUGACUUUGGGAUAACUUCAUGAAACUGGGGCUAAUACCGGAUAGGAGCUCCUGCUGCAUGGUGGGGGUUGGAAAGUUUCGGCGGUUGGGGAUGGACUCGCGGCUUAUCAGCGUGUUGGUGGGGUAGUGGCUUACCAAGGCUUUGACGGGUAGCCGGCCUGAGAGGGUGACCGGCCACAUUGGGACUGAGAUACGGCCCAGACUCCUACGGGAGGCAGCAGUGGGGAAUAUUGCACAAUGGGCGGAAGCCUGAUGCAGCAACGCCGCGUGCGGGAUGACGGCCUUCGGGUUGUAAACCGCUUUCGCCUGUGACGAAGCGUGAGUGACGGUAAUGGGUAAAGAAGCACCGGCUAACUACGUG